rnacentral:rRNA from 1 species
CGACCGGCGCACGGGUGAGUAACGCGUAUGUAAUCUACCUGUAACAGAGGGAUAACCCGGAGAAAUCCGGACUAAUACCUCAUAGCACAUAUUAUUCGCAUGAAUUUUAUGUUAAAGAGACUCGGUUACAGAUGAACAUGCGUUCCAUUAGCUAGUUGGCGGGGUUACGGCCCACCAAGGCAACGAUGGAUAGGGGUUCUGAGAGGAAGGUCCCCCACACUGGUACUGAGACACGAACCAG